UUAGAAAGUGAAUUAGAACAUAGACAUAUAUAAGGCAACCAAGAGAAUUUGUUCUAGGAAUAGUUUCAAUCUCUUGAUCAUUCUUAAUAUUAAUAUCUGAAUUUAAUACAAAUUAUAUAUUAAAUGAAUAAGGAAUUAGUAAUUUGACAUAUAAGUUUAGAACUAGUUCUUAAGGAAUCAGGAUUAGUAUACAUUGAUGUGAAUGUUUGAAUGAAAGAGUGAUAAAUUGUAUAGAGUAUUAUUAUUAUUUGAUUCAUAAAUUCCAAUUCUAAUGAAGUUUCAUCUUAACUUUAAUCAUAAUUUCUAAAUUAUUGUUAUUACAAUUUGUUUCCUUACUUAUGAAUUGAAUCAUUGUUUUUAUCCAUAUUGGAAUUUAUAAAUAUUUCGGUUGAAAAUAGGUCUGAGGAUGUAUACCUUCAACUUCUCUCUUCCUGUGUUUCCUCACCCUAGACGUUUGUUUUCGCACUUCUCCCAAUCGGUGGUGUUUCUGCAAGGAGCUCAAGUCAAUUUUCUGGUUUGUCAAUAGUCUCAAGAAUAAAUCGAACAAUCAUUGUCUUCACAUUUAAACCUCAAGAAUAAAUCGAACAAUCAUUGUCUUCACAUUUAAACCUGUAUUCAUAAGCCUUACUCUGGUCCAGCCCACUGAUUUACAAUUAAUGCGGUAUCUUUUUGUGUUAUAUAAUAUGUGAAUCACCCUUAAAUGCCAAAUAUUUGUGCUUGAUAUGUAAUAACUAAUCAUAAAAAGUUACCUAUUAAUUUAGUCUUUCCUUUCUGCUGAUCGGUUGUAACUUUGGCAGAUCCAUAAGAAAGUAAGUGCCGGCUCUUUCAUCACCUCGUUUUUGUUGCUGAC
rnacentral:lncRNA from 1 species